AUUCUGUUUAAGUCAUCCGGAAAACUAGGAAAUUAGUGAAAGCACAGACACAUUUUUCCCGUUGUAAAAAAAUUAACUUAAAUAUGAAAAGGCAAUCUUAUGGGUACCCAGAUGAUGAUGAUGAUGAGGACGACGAUCCCGUUUGUAAUAUACUAUGACACUGGCUCAUUGGAUAUGUUUCAACAACAUGAGAAGAUAUCCAGCUGAAGUAUAUUUUUGAACCAUUUCGGAACAUAUAAACACAUUAUGUGAAACAUAUCAGUAUAAUAAAAUUGUUCAACAUGUA